rnacentral:rRNA from 1 species
GAUGAACGCUAGCUACAGGCUUAACACAUGCAAGUCGAGGGGCAGCAUUUCAGUUUGCUUGCAAACUGGAGAUGGCGACCGGCGCACGGGUGAGUAACACGUAUCCAACCUGCCGAUAACUCGGGGAUAGCCUUUCGAAAGAAAGAUUAAUACCCGAUGGUAUAAUCAGACCGCAUGGUCUUGUUAUUAAAGAAUUUCGGUUAUCGAUGGGGAUGCGUUCCAUUAGGCAGUUGGUGAGGUAACGGCUCACCAAACCUUCGAUGGAUAGGGGUUCUGAGAGGAAGGUCCCCCACAUUGGAACUGAGGCACGGUCCAAACUCCUACGGGAGGCAGCAGUGAGGAAUAUUGGUCAAUGGGCGCAGGCCUGAACCAGCCAAGUAGCGUGAAGGAUGACUGCCCUAUGGGUUGUAAACUUCUUUUAUAUGGGAAUAAAGUUUUCCACGUGUGGAAUUUUGUAUGUACCAUAUGAAUAAGGAUCGGCUAACUCCGUGCCAGCAGCCGCGGUAAUACGGAGGAUCCGAGCGUUAUCCGGAUUUAUUGGGUUUAAAGGGAGCGUAGGUGGACAGUUAAGUCAGUUGUGAAAGUUUGCGGCUCAACCGUAAAAUUGCAGUUGAUACUGGCUGUCUUGAGUACAGUAGAGGUGGGCGGAAUUCGUGGUGUAGCGGUGAAAUGCUUAGAUAUCACGAAGAACUCCGAUUGCGAAGGCAGCUCACUGGACUGCAACUGACACUGAUGCUCGAAAGUGUGGGUAUCAAACAGGAUUAGAUACCCUGGUAGUCCACACAGUAAACGAUGAAUACUCGCUGUUUGCGAUAUACAGUAAGCGGCCAAGCGAAAGCAUUAAGUAUUCCACCUGGGGAGUACGCCGGCAACGGUGAAACUCAAAGGAAUUGACGGGGGCCCGCACAAGCGGAGGAACAUGUGGUUUAAUUCGAUGAUACGCGAGGAACCUUACCCGGGCUUAAAUUGCAUUUGAAUAUAUUGGAAACAGUAUAGCCGUAAGGCAAAUGUGAAGGUGCUGCAUGGUUGUCGUCAGCUCGUGCCGUGAGGUGUCGGCUUAAGUGCCAUAACGAGCGCAACCCUUAUCUUUAGUUACUAACAGGUCAUGCUGAGGACUCUAGAGAGACUGCCGUCGUAAGAUGUGAGGAAGGUGGGGAUGACGUCAAAUCAGCACGGCCCUUACGUCCGGGGCUACACACGUGUUACAAUGGGGGGUACAGAAGGCAGCUACCUGGUGACAGGAUGCUAAUCCCAAAAGCCUCUCUCAGUUCGGAUCGAAGUCUGCAACCCGACUUCGUGAAGCUGGAUUCGCUAGUAAUCGCGCAUCAGCCAUGGCGCGGUGAAUACGUUCCCGGGCCU